ACUCCUACGGGAGGCAGCAGUGGGGAAUAUUGCACAAUGGGCGCAAGCCUGAUGCAGCCAUGCCGCGUGUAUGAAGAAGGCCUUCGGGUUGUAAAGUACUUUCAGCAGUGAGGAAGGUGGGUAUGUUAAUAGCAUACUCAUUUGACGUUAGCUGCAGAAGAAGCACCGGCUAACUCCGUGCCAGCAGCCGCGGUAAUACGGAGGGUGCGAGCGUUAAUCGGAAUUACUGGGCGUAAAGCGCAUGCAGGUGGUUUGUUAAGUCAGAUGUGAAAGCCCGGGGCUCAACCUCGGAAUUGCAUUUGAAACUGGCAAACUAGAGUACUGUAGAGGGGGGUAGAAUUUCAGGUGUAGCGGUGAAAUGCGUAGAGAUCUGAAGGAAUACCGGUGGCGAAAGGCGGCCCCCUGGACAGAUACUGACACUCAGAUGCGAAAGCGUGGGGAGCAAACAGGAUUAGAUACCCUGGUAGGC
rnacentral:rRNA from 1 species